rfam:Pan troglodytes isolate Yerkes chimp pedigree #C0471 (Clint) chromosome 2B, whole genome shotgun sequence.
GCCAGGCAUGGUGGUGCAUGUCUGUAGUCCCAGUUUCUUGGGAGGCUGAGGUGGGAGGAUCACUCGAACCCAGGGGUUCGAUGUUGCAGUAAGCUACGAUGGCUCCACUGCACUUCAGCCUGGGUGACAGAGUGAGACCCUGUCUCAA